UUUGAUCAUGGCUCAGGACGAACGCUGGCGGCGUGCUUAACACAUGCAAGUCGAACGAUGAACCACUUCGGUGGGGAUUAGUGGCGAACGGGUGAGUAACACGUGGGCAAUCUGCCCUUCACUCUGGGACAAGCCCUGGAAACGGGGUCUAAUACCGGAUAACACUUCUGCUCUCAUGGGCAGGGGUUAAAAGCUCCGGCGGUGAAGGAUGAGCCCGCGGCCUAUCAGCUUGUUGGUGAGGUAAUGGCUCACCAAGGCGACGACGGGUAGCCGGCCUGAGAGGGCGACCGGCCACACUGGGACUGAGACACGGCCCAGACUCCUACGGGAGGCAGCAGUGGGGAAUAUUGCACAAUGGGCGAAAGCCUGAUGCAGCGACGCCGCGUGAGGGAUGACGGCCUUCG
rnacentral:rRNA from 1 species